AAACGUCGACAAAUAUCGAUAUUAGUUCUGAGGAAGGUCCGCCCACCAUAUUAAGGUUGUCUUUCGAAAGGAAGAUGUCCGCGAGGAUAAGCUCUGGAACAGAAACGACCCUGUUAAGUCAGGCUGAAACGGCUAUCUCAACCGGUGCAAGGCUUCGAGCCGCAUAGUCGAAUGUUAACACGUUCGGUCCGCCUUGAAACACAGAACGGCGAACGACAGAAGGUGGCCUAUUCCCAACUUAU
rnacentral:RNase_P_RNA from 2 species